rnacentral:tRNA from 1 species
UCUCGGGUAGUUCAACUGGCAGAACGCCUGGCUCUGAACCAAGAGGUUGCUGGAUCGUCCCCAGCCCCGAGAUCCA